rnacentral:rRNA from 1 species
GCCAGACUCCUACGGGAGGCAGCAGUGGGGGAUAUUGCACAAUGGGGGAAACCCUGAUGCAGCGACGCCGCGUGGGUGAAGAAGCGCCUCGGCGCGUAAAGCCCUGUCAGCAGGGAAGAAAAUGACGGUACCUGAAGAAGAAGCCCCGGCUAACUACGUGCCAGCAGCCGCGGUAAUACGUAGGGGGCAAGCGUUAUCCGGAUUUACUGGGCGUAAAGGGAGCGUAGACGGAUAAGCAAGUCUGAUGUGAAAAUCCGGGGCCCAACCCCGGAAUUGCAUUGGAAACUGCAUAUCUAGAGUAUCGGAGAGGCAAGUGGAAUUCCUGGUGUAGCGGUGAAAUGCGUAGAUAUCAGGAGGAACACCAGUGGCGAAGGCGGCUUGCUGGACGAUGACUGACGUUGAGGCUCGAAAGCGUGGGGAGCAAACAGGAUUAGAUACCCUAGUA